UACGGAGGGUGCAAGCGUUAUCCGGAUUCACUGGGUUUAAAGGGCGCGUAGGAGGGCAGGUAAGUCAGUGGUGAAAUCCCCGUGCUUAACAUGGGAACUGCCGUUGAUACUAUCUGUCUUGAAUGCCGUGGAGAUGAGCGGAAUAUGUCAUGUAGCGGUGAAAUGCUUAGAUAUGACAUAGAACACCGAUUGCGAAGGCAGCUCGUUACACGAACAUUGACUCUGAGGCUCGAAAGCGUGGGGAUCAAACAGG
rnacentral:rRNA from 1 species